GAAGCGGCAACAGCUCAAAUUUGAAAUCUGGCGCAAGCCCGAGUUGUAAUUUGUAGAGGAUGCUUCAGGGCAGCGGCCGGUCUAAGUUCCUUGGAACAGGACGUCAUAGAGGGUGAGAAUCCCGUAUGCGACCGGUUGGCACCCGUCACGUAGCUCCUUCGACGAGUCGAGUUGUUUGGGAAUGCAGCUCUAAAUGGGAGGUAAAUUUCUUCUAAAGCUAAAUACCGGCCAGAGACCGAUAGCGCACAAGUAGAGUGAUCGAAAGAUGAAAAGCACUUUGGAAAGAGAGUUAAAAAGCACGUGAAAUUGUUGAAAGGGAAGCGCAUGCAACCAGACUUGUCGGCGGUGUUCCGCCGGUCUUCUGACCGGUCUACUCGCCGCCGGCAGGCCAGCAUCAUCUGGGCGCGCCGGACAAAGGCGCGGGGAAUGUGGCUCCUCGGAGUGUUAUAGCCCCGCGCACAAUACGGCGCCGCUCGGGUGAGGUCCGCGCUUCGGCUAGGAUGCUGGCGUAAUGGUUGUCUGCGGCCCGUCUUGAAACACGGACCAAGGAGUCUAACAUCUAUGCGAGUGUUCGGGUGUCAAACCCCUACGCGUAAUGAAAGUGAACGGAGGUGGGAAGCGCAAGCUGCACCAUCGACCGAUCCUGAUGUCUUCGGAUGGAUUUGAGUAAGAGCAUAGCUGUUGGGACCCGAAAGAUGGUGAACUAUGCCUGAAUAGGGUGAAGCCAGAGGAAACUCUGGUGGA
rnacentral:rRNA from 1 species